CGACCCUCGAGCUCCCCUCUUCUUGCGGGGGGCUCGGUGCUGGGACGCUACAGUGUUUGCGCUGUAGGUCCCGAAAUGCAGUGGCGGCCUCACCGAGACCCCGAGCGCAGUAAACCGUGCUUUAGCACAGCGCCUCGUUCAGGGUGUCCGGCGGGUGCCUCAGCCGUUAAACCCCCAAUUUACCAAA
rnacentral:misc_RNA from 1 species